GCCGCUCCGGCACCACCUCGCUCCCCAGCCCCCUUCACUCCCCGGCCCCCCUCGCUCCCCGGCCCCGCGGCGCGCCCGGCGCCCCUGGGACCCUGGGCAGCACAAUAACGUGAGCAGAAAGGCAGCGAGUGACACGUGUUAGGACGAAAAAGCACCAGCACGGAUUCCUUCCUCAUUACUAACAUUCAAAACCACGCUGUCUCCUUGAGGGAGGACCCCUCGGCUUUUCGGGUUUUCUUCCAGUACGAUUCCACACCCUUCAGCGCUGAGGACACCGGCUGAUCUGAACUGAAAGAGGACAGCCACAGCAGCCCUUACCUGCAUCUCUCUGCUCUAUCCAGCGCUCAGCUGCUUCCAGUCUGAUCUUCCUAAGUAAUCUGAAGCAAACCCUCAAAUGCAAGGAAAGAAGGCAAGAAACAUCAAUGAACACAGUGCAGGUUGCAACAUAAAUGGAACAUCAGAGGAGUGAAAGUUCCUUGCCUUACAGCUGAGCAGGUUGGAAAUAGUUCUGUGCAAGUCAGGUUUCAUCCUCUGCUGUGCUUUCCUCAGGGUAAGUGAGAAAAAGUGUGAGACCCUGCUCUCCCAGGCAGAGCAGAGAGUGAUGCUCAGUGCUGUUACUAAAUGGCUGCUUCUUCAUGCAGAGGAAUUCAGAGGAAAGCAGCUACACUGAGGUUUAAGAUAACACCUCAUUUUCUUCAGGCUUAUCUCUGUUUUUUCCUGAAAUGCUCCCUUUUUUAUCUUUCUGAACUUUGAACUCUGCCAAAAACACUAUCUGGUGUUGAGGUACCUUGCAAAACUUUUCCCCAAUUCUUGUAUUUGGAUUAAUUUAUCCUUAUCAUGAAACAUGUUGUUAUAAAUCUGCUACAUCAUAGCAACUGUAUGAUGGAAACUGCCUAAAAAUGUUUUCUGCUUGCAAGAGAUUGGGUAAAAACCCCAAAGUUGAACUGUAACAAGAGCUAUUAAUGUUUAAAAGCUAAAGUUAAGAGUGUGCAGUUCACCAAGCAGAGGAUCUCUCUGCUCAGCAGUGAAAUGAGGAACAAAAAAUUGUAACUGGUUUAUUGAAUUUCUUUUAUCAGAUGGAUUUUUACCUGAGGGAGGUUCAAUGACUGCAUAAACAGAGCCAGCAAGAGGUUUACAAUGACAAUCACUCAUAUCUUUAUGAAUUAGUGUUGUCAGAGUCAAAUUCUCUCCUCUGUUGUAUUUUGACUGAAUUUCCCUUAACAAUUGUUUUAAGCAUUGUGGCAAGAAAGGGAAGGAGAGCCACUAGAUGGCAUUUUUAAUCCAGCUCUUCCUGCUGCACAAGUUCAGUCGCUGUCCUGAAUGUGAGGCCUCUGUUCUCUCCCUCAGGACUGCUGCAAUCCCAGGAGAAGGAAGGCACAGUUCAGUUUCUCCCUGGAACUGAACACCUUGGGGCAAUGCAGCAUUUAAAGCUCUUUGCAAUGGCUGAGCCUUUACAAAAGCCAGAUUGAGGGGCUGGAGCUGGGGAAAACUGGACAAGGUUCCAAUGCACAAGCCCUCAUUACCUCCUGUGAGAAACAGGGAGCACCUACACCUAUGCCUAAAAUGAGAGGAAAAUACUGAAAAUGCUGAUCUUGACCUGUCUGCAGCAGUACUGGGAUAGUUUGAUUAUGGUACAUAUGGUAAAUAAAAUUAUAUUUUAAUUAUUUUAAUCAGAAAAGUAUUUUA